rnacentral:lncRNA from 1 species
AUCUAUUCAACACUUUUAUUAUGAUAACACUACAACAAUUAUUUCAAUUCAGAACUAUUUACAAAGCAUGAAUAACACAAGUUUAUUCAUCCAAUCUUUUAUUCUCCUGAAAUUAAAAGUAGCACCUUGGGCAUUCAGUACAUUGCACACAGCACAGGCAAGACAGCUUUGUCGGUGGAAAUCAUAAGAAAUUCCACAACAUACAGAUGUUAAACAAGAAGGGACUAACCAAACACAAAGCCCCUCACCAAUCACAAUGUAGUGAAGAUCAGUUAUGAAUCAACGCUUCUUCAUGAACCCCUCUGCAAGCUUUAAGUAGUCCCCCAUACCAGCUCCGCUUCCCCCCUCACCAUCCUUCUUCAUGAAACCCUGAGCAAGUUUCAGGUAAUCUGCCAUGCCACUGCCCUCCGACUCAUGUUUUCCACUCUCAGGGCGGCCACCAUGUUUCUUCUU